CAAAAAUGGUGGAGGCUUUGAUUUGUUCUCAAAAUUGGUUGCAAUCAAAGCCUAUGACGUAUGAUUAUAGAGUUGAAAUACCAAUAGAAGAUGUCGCAUAUUAUGAUUCUAUUGAAUCGGGAGCAUCUUGGGUUACAAAACAAAGUUUACCUCUACCUAAUUGAUAUAUGAUUACUUGGAUGAAUGGAAUUUGGUUUAUUGAGGUAGUGAGCUUGUGGUUGCUGCUGGUGGCUUUUCAUGCAAUGGAGAAUGUGGAAGAAAACAAUAUUUAAAAUAAUUUUUAUUUUUAUGGAUUAUUAGUUUAUUUAAUUAUAAGUUUAUUUUAAAAUUUUAGAUUUCAAAUAUGGGUUGUAUUUUAUUUUGUAGCUAAUAAUGGUUGUAGACUUGUUAUAUACUUUAUUUGUUGAUGUAUGGUUUAUAAUUGGGUGGUGGUAGUUGUAGAUUUGUAUUAUAGUUGUAUGAUUAUGUGUUGUAUUAUUUAAUAUGUUUGAUGCUUAAUAAUUAACUUAUUUGGUA